CUAACCUAUCAGACACACAAAUGACGAACGGGAGGGUUUUCAUUGUCUUCCCCCAAAACCGCCGCUCACAUCUCAUCACUUCAAUCCUCGGCGAACAGCUUUACCCCAUUGGUGAGAGAGAUUCACUUCACCAGAGAGAGAGAGCUUAAUCCACCGGAGAUGGAGAGACCGCGGCGACAGAGAAGCAGGGACGAGGAAAAGGGAUAGAGAGCUCGUUCAACCCUGUCCUUCAGCGUCGACGGUCAUUUUCUUACUCAAAAGUUGCAGGAUAUUCAAUACGGAAGCUUAGCGGCUAUAGUAAUUGGUAUACGGUAUGUGAUCGAAGAUCCUACCAUAUGUGAUCGAAGAUCCUACCAUCCCGAAACCAUGGAAAUCACUAAUACAUGAUGCAGUUUAUCUUAUUCGUAAAGAUGCAAAUGUGAGACUAGUGUUGGGCAGGGACCACGUGCUACGCAGAUACAUGAUGAAGUUGUCAAAUUGUAAAAUUGAAAAGAUCGUCCAAGAUGAACAGGUGGGGUUUGAGGGGAUGAGAGGGAGAGAAAUAUAAAUGAUGAUAACAUGGCUUGCGGAUGUUGGGGGUGAUACAGGAUAAUUGUUUAGAGAUUGGGUCUUUGUUAUAAGAUAUUUAUGGCUCGACAUUUGUAUUAGCAUUUUACCAAUAGAUAUAUUAGCAAACUUUUGAAAUAUCGCAACAGAGAUAAUGGUUGUCUUAAUAUACUUAUAUGAUCAUUUUAUUGGUUUUGUAGUACAUUUCUUUGAUACAUAUAAUUUGUGACAAAGUGUUUAUGACAGAGGAUUGGUGAC